rnacentral:rRNA from 1 species
AUUGAACGCUGGCGGCAGGCCUAACACAUGCAAGUCGAGCGGAAGAAGGGAGCUUGCUCCUGGAUUCCGCGGCGGACGGGUGAGUAAUACCUAGGAAUCUGCCUGGUAGUGGGGGAUAACGUCCGGAAACGGGCGCUAAUACCGCAUACGUCCUGCGGGAGCAAGUGGGGGAUCUUCGGACCUCACGCUAUCAGGUGAGCCUAGGUCGGAGUAGCUAGUUGGUGGGGUAAAGGCCUACCAAGGCGACGAUCCGUAACUGGUCUGAGAGGAUGAUCAGUCACACUGGAAGUGAGACACGGUCCAGACUCCUACGGGAGGCAGCAGUGGGGAAUAUUGGACAAUGGGCGAAAGCAUGAUCCAGCCAUGCCGCGUGUGUGAAGAAGGCCUUCGGAGUGUAAAGCACUUUAAGUUGGGAGGAAGCGCAGUAAGUUAAUACCUUGCUGUUUUGACGGUACUAACAGAAUAAGCACCGGCUAACUUCGUG